GAGCACGUACUAAUAUAUGACACUAUACCCAAGUCCAUAUAAUAUAGCUCAGCUCCCAAACCUAAUGCACUUUGGUGCUAUAAUAACAGAUCUGAAAUAAAGAACCAAGUGGUAUGCUAUAGAAGCAUUUUUACCUAGUUACUCGGCUAGUUGAGUGAUGUAGUAAGUUCUUUUACUUAUUUAGGCUUAGUAACCUGAUCCACAUAUUUCUUUGUUGGGAGAGCUGCUAAUAGCUAGAUUCCUAGAAAAAGUAUAUUAAAGUAAAUGAAAGGG
rnacentral:lncRNA from 1 species